AUCUCUACCUGGAGACCACUUCUCUUGGAGCCCUUCCGGGAGCCCAGGACGUGGAUUUCCUUGCAGAGCAGCACUCGGAAGUCACCUGCUCCAACUGCUUUCUCCAGCCCCAGCUUGUUUAAUCCUCCUGUUUCCAUAUUAAGCGAGAGGCAGCCUUGUGUGAUCUAGUUGGUGAUGCUUGUGACAGGCUCUUUGUGAGCACCUUGUGACAGCAGGAGGGCAUGUGGGAAGGUGACAUCAGAGUGAGAGCGUAAAUCUUGUGGCUGCCACUCUGGAAUUGCUGAAUGCAAAGAGAAGAUGAAGCUAAUGUGACUACAUGUGACCUGGAAGCACCUUGUUCUUGGGAUUUUUCAAACCUUUUGGCAGCUACUGUGCCCGUGCCAUCCUUUCUUUACCUUCUGCUUCACAUACAGAAAGUGAGAUGGGUUGUGCAAAGGAAUGGGUAAUGUGGUAGCAUGCCAGAUCUCAGCCCUCCUUCCCCUAAUACCAGCAUUCGCAAGGUGGGGAAAGGUUUCCAGUCAGCGAAAUCUGGUGUGGUUGGAGCUGCUCACAAACUCAGCUGUGCUUCUCUGUGCUCGUGAUUAAUUCAGCCUUCAAGUUGAAAAUAAAUAAAUAGGGUUUGGAGAAGACGUAAGUUCUGUAUGGUUUCUCUGUGGGGAGUGUAACCUUUGCAAACCUCUGGAACUGAAGGGAAUUUUUGUCUUCUUUCAUCUGCAGUGAUGUGAAAAGCUAAUGAGCUGGUAUACCACUGAUUUAAAUCGGGGCCUGAUAGGUGCCUGGCAGUGCUUGUUUGGUCUGUGGUGGAUGGGUAACUUCAUUGGAGGAAGCUGAUACAUAUGUAUUGUGGGCCGGUGUCACUGUACAGGUUUUGGAGCCUGAGCAGAAGGAUGUGAAGGACCUGAAGGUCGCUUCUGAGCUGCAUCCUCAGUCUGCUUUAAGAUUGACAUGCAAAUUCAGCAGCACCAAGCAGCUUUGUGUAUUACUCUUUGCACUGACUCCAAAGGCUAAGGCCUCUAUGGUUUUUACUUUGUCCCACUUUCACAGUGUGCUGCAGCCCUGGUGCUGUUCACAUGCCUGUCUCAGUUUGGUUCAGAGCAAGGCUUUUCU
ensembl:lncRNA